rnacentral:rRNA from 1 species
AACGAACGCUGGCGGCAGGCUUAACACAUGCAAGUCGAACGCCCCGCAAGGGGAGUGGCAGACGGGUGAGUAACGCGUGGGAACAUACCCUUUUCUACGGAAUAGCUCUGGGAAACUGGAAUUAAUACCGUAUACGCCCUACGGGGGAAAGAUUUAUCAGGGAAGGAUUGGCCCGCGUUGGAAUAGCUAGUUGGUGGGGUAAAGGCCUACCAAGGCGACGAUCCAUAGCUGGUUUGAGAGGAUGAUCAGCCACAUUGGGACUGAGACACGGCCCAAACUCCUACGGGAGGCCGCAGUGGGGAAUAUUGGACAAUGGGAGCAAGCCUGAUCCAGCCAUGCCGGGUGAGUGAUGAAGGCCUUAGGGUUGUAAAGCUCUUUCACCGAUGAAGAUAAUGACGGUAGUCGGAGAAGAAGCCCCGGCUAACUUCGUGCCAGCCGCCGCCGUAAUAC